AACGAACGCUGGCGGCAGGCCUAACACAUGCAAGUCGAACGCUCCGCAAGGAGAGUGGCAGACGGGUGAGUAACACGUGGGAAUCUUCCUAUCGGUACGGAAUAGCUCAGGGAAACUUGAGGUAAUACCGCAUACGCCCUUCGGGGGAAAGAUUUAUCGCCGAUAGAUGAGCCCGCGUCUGAUUAGCUAGUUGGUGGGGUAAUGGCCUACCAAGGCGACCAUCAGUAGCUGGUCUGAGAGGAUGACCAGCCACACUGGGACUGAGACACGGCCCAGACUCCUACGGGAGGCAGCAGUGGGGAAUAUUGGACAAUGGGCGCAAGCCUGAUCCAGCCAUGCCGCGUGAGUGACGAAGGUCUUCGGAUUGUAAAGCUCUUUUGCCAGGGACGAUAAUGACGGUACCUGGAGAAUAAGCCCCGGCUAACUUCGUGCCAGCCGCCGCGGUAAUAC
rnacentral:rRNA from 1 species